rnacentral:rRNA from 1 species
AGGACGAACGCUGGCGGCGCGCCUAACACAUGCAAGUCGAGCGAGAACCAGGGCUUGCCCUGGGGAAAGCGGCGAACGGGUGCGUAACACGUGAGCAACCUGCCCCAAAGACCGGGACAACCCGAGGAAACUCGGACUAAUACCGGAUGCCCUCACCGGGCCGCAUGGUCUGGUGAGGAAAUGGAUUCCGCUUUGGGAUGGGCUCGCGGUCUAUCAGCUUGUUGGUGGGGUAACGGCCUACCAAGGCGACGACGGAUAGCUGGUCUGAGAGGACGAUCAGCCACACUGGGACUGAGACACGGCCCAGACUCCUACGGGAGGCAGCAGUGGGGAAUCUUGCGCAAUGGGGGAAACCCUGACGCAGCGACGCCGCGUGCGGGAUGAAGGCCUUCGGGUUGUAAACCGCUUUCAGCAGGACGAAAUUGACGGUACCUGCAGAAGAAGGCCCGGCCAACUACGCGCCAGCAGCCGC